AUCAGUUCAAUUUGUUUUGUGUUAGAUGCAUUCAAGACACUCUUCAAAUCUUUAUGGAAUUACCAAGGAAGACCACAUUCUGCAGGCUUGGAUUACCAAGGAGCAAGGAGAAAUAAUCAUAUCCUGCAGUUCCAACCCAAGAAAAUCCCACACAUUUCUCAGAAGCCUGGGUGUGUGAAGACAGCAUUGAAUGACACGUUCACUCUCAGUUGUCUGCAGGCUUCACUACAAAGGCACUGCUCCCAGGAUAAAAGGAAAAGAUACCUGCCAUACUUCCAAGUGGAAAGUGUGAGGCGUAAGCUAAUUAAUUGUAAGGAUAAGAAGGAUAUCCCAAAGAGCAAGUCUUGUAAGUUUUAUUGGAUACCUCUGGUUUGGAAUUAUUUGUGGUAAGCAGAAUUUUAAGAUGCCUCCCCACCUCCAGACUUCCUGCCCUAAUCUCUGAAUACGUUAAUGUAAUACAUUAUUAUUCCCACAGUUAUGUAUGUACUUAAGGUUGGUGAUCAAUUGACCUUGAGUUAAUCCAAAGGGUAUUUAUCUGGGUAGACCUUAGUCUAAUUACAGGAGCCCUUUAUAAGCAGAGACUUUUCUCUGGUUGGUAGCAGAAGAAGUCAGUGAGAUUCCAAGCCUGAGGUGGACUCAACAUGCCUUGUUACUUUAGAAGAUGGAGGGAGCUAAUUGGCAAGGAUGUGAGUGGACUCUAGAGGCUGAAAGUAGCCUUCCCUUUUACUACCCCCAUCCCACAUCCAGCAAGAAAGCUUCUAUGUCAGUCUUACAACUUUAAGGAAUUGAACUCUGCCAGCAACUUGAAUGUGCUUAGAAGUGAAUUUUUCCCCAGAGGUGCCUGGCGGGUAACUUGAUUUUGGCCUUGUGAGAUCCUAAGCAGAGGAUAUAGUCUGGCCUGCCUAGAGACUGACCUACAGAACUAUGAGCUAAUAAACAGAUGCCAUAAUUGGUUAGGCA
rnacentral:lncRNA from 1 species